rnacentral:rRNA from 1 species
UGGGGAAUAUUGGACAAUGGGGGGAACCCUGAUCCCAGCCAUGCCGCGUGUGUGAAGAAGGCCUUAUGGUUGUAAAGCACUUUAAGCGAGGAGGAGGCUACUAGUAUUAAUACUACUGGAUAGUGGACGUUACUCGCAGAAUAAGCACCGGCUAACUCUGUGCCAGCAGCCGCGGUAAUACAGAGGGUGCGAGCGUUAAUCGGAUUUACUGGGCGUAAAGCGUGCGUAGGCGGCCAUUUAAGUCAAAUGUGAAAUCCCCGAGCUUAACUUGGGAAUUGCAUUCGAUACUGGAUGGCUAGAGUAUGGGAGAGGAUGGUAGAAUUCCAGGUGUAGCGGUGAAAUGCGUAGAGAUCUGGAGGAAUACCGAUGGCGAAGGCAGCCAUCUGGCCUAAUACUGACGCUGAGGUACGAAAGCAUGGGGAGCAAACAGGAUUAGAUACCCUGGUAGUCCAUGCCGUAAACGAUGUCUACUAGCCGUUGGGGCCUUUGAGGCUUUUAGUGGCGCAGCUAACGCGAUAAGUAGACCGCCUGGGGGAGUACGGUCGCAAGACU